rnacentral:lncRNA from 1 species
AAGAUUUAAGGAGCGGAGGCGGCGAUUUCUGAUUUGGGUGGAAUUAGGGCUCGAUUCUACACGAAGAUUGUUGCAAGUGAGAAAUUGAGAGAGAGAAUGGGGUGGCGAGCGUCAGACUCAGGAUUGCGGCCGUUCGCAGACGACGGCCGAUCGCCGAAUUGCAGAGCGGCGAUGGCGGGUCUGCCGGAGGCAGAUCGAGUGAGAAGAGAGAGAGAGAGUGCCGAUUUUGGGC